rnacentral:rRNA from 1 species
CAGUCGCCGCGGUAAUACGAAGGGUGCAAGCGUUAAUCGGAAUUACUGGGCGUAAAGCGUGCGUAGGCGGUGAGUUAAGUCUGCUGUGAAAUCCCCGGGCUCAACCUGGGAAUGGCAGUGGAUACUGGCUCGCUAGAGUGUGUCAGAGGAUGGUGGAAUUCCCGGUGUAGCGGUGAAAUGCGUAGAGAUCGGGAGGAACAUCAGUGGCGAAGGCGACUAUCUGGGCCAACACUGACACUGAGACACGAAAGCGUGGGGAGCAAACAGGAUUAGAUACCCGAGUAGUCCCUGUCUCUUAUAC